GGUUGCAAGUUUGAGGCCACAGCAGAAACCUGGUGUGCCCCUGUUAGAUUCCAGUGAAUCUGUGAAUUCUGCU
rnacentral:ribozyme from 1 species